rnacentral:rRNA from 1 species
AUAAUGACUCUCGGCAACGAAUAUCUAGGCUCUUGCAUCGAUGAAGAACGUAGCGAAAUGCGAUACUUGGUGUGAAUUGCAGAAUCCCGUGAACCAUCGAGUCUUUGAACGCAAGUUGCGCCCGAAGCCAUUAGGUUGAGGGCACGUCUGCCUGGGCGUCACAU